UACGUAGGGGGCUAGCGUUGUCCGGAAUCAUUGGGCGUAAAGCGCGCGUAGGCGGCCCGGUAAGUCCGCUGUGAAAGUCCAGGGCUCAACCCUGGGAUGCCGGUCGAUACUGCCGGACUAGAGUUCGGAAGAGGCGAGUGGAAUUCCCGGUGUAGCGGUGAAAUGCGCAGAUAUCGGGAGGAACACCAAUGGCGAAGGCAGCUCGCUGGGACGUUACUGACGCUGAGACGCGAAAGCAUGGGGAGCGAACAGG
rnacentral:rRNA from 1 species